UUCAUUACUACCUUAUUUUGAGUGUGGUAACACAAAGUUGGUAAUGCGAAAGGUGAUUAUAUAAGAGUGUGUAUGUACAUGCCAAAGUACUAGUAGGUAUUAACAUAAUAUGUUAAUACAUAUUAUGUAUGUAUGUGUUAAUAUAUGUAAAACUACAAAUUCGAAAAAAAUCAAUAUACUUCUGAAAACCCCACAAACUAUGGAAUUUUUCCAAACUGGAGAACAAAACAAUUCAUUUUCCAGCUAAAAAAAACAAAGGAAAUAUUUAACAAAGUUUCGACCAUGUUUUUAUUACUUAACUUUUUUUUUAAUUUUGCAACUUUGACAUUUUCAGUGCAACUUUUUCCUUCUUGUGGACCUAUAAUUAGCAAUUUCAAGUAGCAUACUAUGCCAUACAUACUCGACAAAAUUGAGUUACGAGAAUUUGUAUACUUAGGUACGCACGUGGCAUAAGCUGUACAUUUUAAUUGGAAGGUGUAUUUUUAUUUUUUUAAAGUAUCCCAUUUUUCGCAAAACUUCAUUCACUGCAAAUUUCAAUAAAUCAUAAAAUCAAUACAUUUUGUAAGAUUGGAAUUGACUAAGGAGGGGAGCUUGCGAGGUUGA